rnacentral:rRNA from 1 species
CAUAAUCAUUAGUUUUUUAAUUGGAAACUUGUAUGAAUGGUUAAACAAAAGAAAUUCUGUCUCUAUUUUUAAAAUUUGAAUUUAACUUUUAAGUGAAAAGGCUUAAAUUUUUCAAGGGGACGAUAAGACCCUAUAAAGCUUUAUAAAUAAUUAAAUGUUUUUGAAUUAUAAAAUAAAAAAAAAAUUAAGAGUUUAUUAUGUUGGGGCGACACGGAUAUAAGUGAAAAUAACUAUUAGAAAAAAAAACAAUAAUUUUUGAAUUUUAUGAUCCUUACGAAAGAUUAUAAGACUAAGUUACUUUAGGGAUAACAGCGUAAUUCUUUUUGAGAGUUCAUAUCGAAAAAAGAGUUUGCGACCUCGAUGUUGAAUCAUAAAAUCUUUAUAGUGCAGCAGUUAUAAAAG